rnacentral:rRNA from 1 species
GCUAAACGCGAAGAACCUUACCAAGGCUUGACAUGCAUCUCUAAGCGCGUGAAAGCGCGUGACCCUUCGGGGAAUUUGCACAGGUGCUGCAUGGCCGUCGUCAGCUCGUGUCGUGAGAUGUUGGGUUAAGUCCCGCAACGAGCGCAACCCCUGUGAUUAGUUGCCAGCGGAUAAUGCCGGGGACUCUAGUCAGACUGCCCAGAUCAACUGGGAGGAAGGUGGGGACGACGUCAGGUCAGUAUGGCCCUUACGCCUUGGGCUGCACACGUACUACAAUGCCCAGUACAAUGAGAACCGAGACCGCGAGGUGGAGGAAAUCUGCAAAACUGGGCCCAGUUCGGAUUGGAGGCUGCAACUCGCCUCCAUGAAGCCGGAAUCGCUAGUAAUGCUGCAUCAGCUACGGCAGCGUGAAUACGUUCCCGGGUCUUGUACACACCG